rnacentral:rRNA from 1 species
AUAAGUACGUGGACGUAGACCCGAAACCGUGUGAUCUACCCCUGUCCAGGGUGAAGGUGCGGUAACACGCACUGGAGGCCCGAACCCACGAAUGUUGAAAAAUUCGGGGAUGAGGUGGGGGUAGCGGAGAAAUUCCAAUCGAACUCGGAGAUAGCUGGUUCUCCCCGAAAUAGCUUUAGGGCUAGCCUCGGGUUAGAGUCGCGGAGGUAAAGCACUGAUUGGGUGCGGGGCCCGCCAAGGGUUACCAAGUCCAGUCAAACUCUGAAUGCCGCAGACUCGAUGCCCGGGAGUCAGACAGUGAGUGCUAAGAUCCAUUGUCAAGAGGGAAACAGCCCAGAUCAUCAGCUAAGGUCCCCAAGUGUGUGUUAAGUGGGAAAGGAUGUGGAGUUGCACAGACAACCAGGAUGUUGGCUUAGAAGCAGCCACCAUUGAAAGAGUGCGUAAUAGCUCACUGGUCGAGUGACUCUGCGCCGAAAAUGUAACGGGGCUAAACACACCACCGAAGCUAUGACUAGACGUCUUAGACGUCCUGGGGUAGGGGAGCGUUGUAUGCGGGUUGAAGCUAGAUCGUAAGGACUGGUGGACUGCAUACAAGUGAGAAUGCCGGUAUGAGUAACGAAAAGACAAGUGAGAAUCUUGUCCGCCGUAAGCCUAAGGGUUCCUGAGGAAGGUUCGUCCGCUCAGGGUAAGUCGGGACCUAAGGCGAGGCCGAAAGGCGUAGUCGAAGGACAACAGGUUGAAAUUCCUGUACCACCGUGAACCGUUAUGAGCGAUGGGGUGACGCAGAAGGAUAGUGACGCGAGCUGAUGGAUGCUCGUCCAAGCAGUGAGGCUGGUGUGUAGGCAAAUCCGCACACCGUAAGGCUGGGCUGUGAUGGGGAGGGAAAUAUAAAGUACCGAAGGUCAUGAGUUCAAGCUGCCAAGAAAAGCCUCUAGCCAGGGAGAAGGUGCCCGUACCGCAAACCGACACAGGUAGGCGAGCAGAGCAUGCUAAGGCGCUCGGAAGAACUCUCGUUAAGGAACUCGGCAAAAUGACCCCGUAACUUCGGGAGAAGGGGUGCCUCGGUAGGGUGAAUAGCCCGAGGGGGCCGCAGUGAAAAGGCCCAAGCGACUGUUUAGCAAAAACACAGGUCUGUGCGAAGCCGCAAGGCGAAGUAUACGGGCUGACGCCUGCCCGGUGCUGGAAGGUUAAGGGGAGUGGUUAGGGGCAACCCGAAGCUAUGAACCGAAGCCCCAGUAAACGGCGGCCGUAACUAUAACGGUCCUAAGGUAGCGAAAUUCCUUGUCAGGUAAAUUCUGACCCGCACGAAUGGCGUAACGACUUGGGCGCUGUCUCGACGAGAGAUCCGGUGAAAUUUUAAUACCUGUGAAGAUGCAGGUUACCCGCGACAAGACGGAAAGACCCCAUGGAGCUUUACUGCAGCUUGAUAUUGGACUUUGGUACGAUCUGUACAGGAUAGGUGGGAGCCUAGGAAGCCGGUGCGCCAGCAUCGGUGGAGGCGCCGUUGGGAUACCACCCUGAUCGUAUCGGAGUUCUAACCUGGUACCGUAAACCGGUACGGGGACCGUGUCAGGUGGGCAGUUUGACUGGGGCGGUCGCCUCCUAAAAAGUAACGGAGGCGCCCCAAGGUUCCCUCAGAAUGGUUGGAAAUCAUUCGAAGAGUGCAAAGGCAUAAGGGAGCUUGACUGCGAGACAAACAGGUCGAGCAGGGACGAAAGUCGGGCUUAGUGAUCCGGUGGUACCGAAUGGAAGGGCCAUCGCUCAACGGAUAAAAGCUACCCUGGGGAUAACAGGCUUAUCUCCCCCAAGAGUCCACAUCGACGGGGAGGUUUGGCACCUCGAUGUCGGCUCAUCGCAUCCUGGGGCUGAAGUAGGUCCCAAGGGUUGGGCUGUUCGCCCAUUAAAGCGGUACGCGAGCUGGGUUCAGAACGUCGUGAGACAGUUCGGUCCCUAUCUGUCGCGGGCGUAGGAAAUUUGAGAGGAGCUGUCCUUAGUACGAGAGGACCGGGAUGGACGUACCGCUGGUGUACCAGUUGUCUCGCCAGAGGCACGGCUGGAUAGCCAAGUACGGAAGGGAUAAGCGCUGAAAGCAUCUAAGCGUGAAGCCCCCCUCAAGAUGAGAUUUCCCAG